CGUAGGGGCCUAGCGUUGUUCGGAUUUACUGGGCGUAAAGGGCGCGUAGGCGGCGAAUCAAGUCAGCUGUGAAAUCUCCGAGCUUAACUCGGAACGGUCAGCUGAUACUGUUUUGCUAGAGUGCAGAAAGGGCAACCGGAAUUCUUGGUGUAGCGGUGAAAUGCGUAGAUAUCAGGAGGAACACCUGAGGCGAAGGCGGGUCGCUAGGCUGACACUGACGCUGAAGCGCGAAAGCUAGGGUAGCAAACGGGAUUAGAUACCCCGGUAGUCCUAGCCCUAAACGAUGUAUGCUUGGUGUCUGGAGUUUUUAUCUCUGGGUGCCGUCGCUAACGCUUUUAGCAUACCGCCUGGGGAGUACGCACGCAAGUGUG
rnacentral:rRNA from 1 species